AAUAAUAAAAUAGACACUUGGAUUAAUUGCAUGUAAUUCAAAUCCAUUUAUGUUGUCAUUUGCAUGUUCUGCUGUAUUAUUUUUGUACGGCAUUCAAGACGAACCACGUGGGAGAAAUGUCAGCACCACAUCCUGUCCAUAUGCAUCAAAAGACUUGUCCUCGCUGUCAGCAAAUGCGAUACCAAGCACAGAAAUUGAGAUCAUGGUGGUAGGGGAAGUAAAUGUUUAGUACUUAUAAGGAAACAGCCUUUGUGUUGUGCAUAAAAUGUCCACCUUGCUUGUUCGCUGUUUCCUUCGUCGCUCUCUCUUGAUAUGGACGUUACCAGUGGUGUUCCUGAAGUUGCCCACUGGACAGUGUUGGCGAGUCGUGAAUGGUGCUGUUGGGGAAUCAGCUGUUCUGUCAGGGACAAAUGACUCGAUCCGGGUAACAAAUCUGCAGUGGGUGAAGAGUGACAUUAUUAUCAUGCAAAGGUUUAACGGAAGUAUAACUAUUUAUAACCAAGCCUAUGAAGGGAGACUCACCCUGAGUGAGGGAGACGGAUCUCUAACCAUCAACCCUCUGAUAAAAAAUGACAGUGGAGAAUAUACCUUUGAAUCCCUCCCACCGCCAUGGCCACAGAAGAGACAUGUGAUACAACUUAAUGUUUAUGACAGAAUCGUGUCCGUGGAGAUGGACCCGCAGGUGAGCUACAGCCCAGACAACAGCACCUGUAACGUGACUCUGAGCUGCACGGUGAAAGGCAGCGUGGUGGAGCUCUCCUGGUCUAAGGACCAUAAGAAGAUCCCUGAUACGGAGGGGAAGGAGACCCUGGUGGUGACUCCCACGGCUGGAGAGGAGCUCUAUUCCUGCACGGCCUCCAACCCUGUCAGCUCCCAGACCGCGAGUCUGAGGGUCUCCUCCUGUCAGACACACGCUAUAAACACCAGCAUGAGGGACAAUACUUCUGGAACAGUGUGCUCUGGGCAGUUUCCCUGGAUACCAGAAUAUAUGCACUUGCUGGCACUGGAGCUCUGUUUCUGCUGGUAUUGGCGAUCAUAGGACGCAUCUUCCACGUCAGAGCCAAGAGGAAAGUGACAAGAGAAAUCCCGGUGUACGCUGAAGUCAGAGAGAGGAGGACACGGGACAUUAGCACUAGACAGGCUUCACCAUCUAGAGAUAUAUCCACCUGCUAUGAUGUUCUGCGAAGCACGUCUGACAGACAGGCAGAACCACCUGGAGAUGUAUCCACCUGUUCUGACUUCUUGAAAAGUGCAUCGGCAGCCCAUUCUGGAAUUUCAACGAUUUACGAAACUGUGAAAUUUGGCCACGGCGCCCCACCAGCUGCAGUAAUCCAGCAUCUUUAGAAAAGAUCUUUCCACUGACAGUCAGCUCUGUAUUUACAUUUAGUUCCUUUUCUGAUCCUUUUGCCAGCAAGAACUUUGUAUUCACACCUGGCAAUUUUACAGGAUUCGAACCAACAACCUUUAAGUGCUCUCGUUGCCUGCUGCUUCAGUUGAUUUGUUUUGUGUAGAUGCAUUAACACUAGGAAGUUGUGUGGCUACUGAAUUGCACUUGAAGAUAUCCCUGAGUUCCUCUCGGAGGUACCGAGCUUUUCAGGGACAAGUGAUACAUUAAACAGAUUUAAAGGGAAAAUCUCAUGGUGAAUAUGAAUUCUUUUGAAAUAGGAACAGGGCUCCGAAUAAGACAUUUUGAAAUGGAGACAGGUAGACUGUUACCAACACAAUGUGUUUCAGUUUCAGUAAUGUGUAAUUAUCAGGCAAUCAAUUUGAAUGUAACUACAUAAAGAUUUUUUUCCCCAUUUCUGUAUGUCACUACAUGGCCAUUGGUGUAAAUAAAUCUUUUGAAGUGUUAAAAGAGAAUUGUAUAGGUUACUUAAUUUGUCACUCUCAUUAGUUUUUGAAAUUGCAAAGUCUUUCUGUAAAUGGGACUGAUAUGCUUUUGUGUUAAUAUAAAUAUGAUAAUAUAAAUUUUCUGUAAUUGUGUGCUUUGUAGAAGGCUGCACGGAAAUGGGGAAAACAGUAAUACUACAGACAUCCAUGGUAAUCCCCAGGAAUGUUCUCACCCCAACACCACCAGGUGGCAGUGUCAAGCGAGUGAUUUAAUAAUUAAGAUGUUUAAUAGUACUCUGUAUUGUUGUUGUGUUGUUGAACACGAGGACAGGGGGGUCUGGUUUUGAUACAUGCAGGGACGGGGUGGGGGAUGGUUUGAUAGAAAAAUAAAUAAAAACCA